rnacentral:rRNA from 1 species
UACAGAGGUCUCAAGCGUUGUUCGGAUUCAUUGGGCGUAAAGGGUGCGUAGGCGGCGCGGUAAGUCGGGUGUGAAAUCUUGGAGCUUAACUCCGAAACUGCAUUCGAUACUGCCGUGCUUGAGGACUGGAGAGGAGACUGGAAUUUACGGUGUAGCGGUGAAAUGCGUAUAUAUCGUAAGGAAGACCAGUGGCGAAGGCGGGUCUCUGGACAGUUCCUGACGCUGAGGCACGAAGGCCAGGGGAGCAAACGGG